UUUUUUUUUUUUUUUUUUUUUUUUGGAAUUUUCCCUUUUUCUCCUGCCCAAGGAAGAAAAAAAAAAGGAAAAAAAGUCAUGUUUUCCUUGUUUCGGUGUCACCUGCACGACAAACCCAAAUCUUGCACAUCAAGUCACCCUUUUCUUUCUUUCUGCAUAUAUUCUUCUCUGCUUAAAUUGUGAUUACUCCGUGUCACACUUCUCUAUUUCUACUGUUUUUUAACCUGCUAUCUGUUAUUUCUGAUUGUGCUUUAAUUUGGUUGCUUCUCAAAUAGUUGCUUGCACUGCUCUUCUGGUGUAAUGAUUGAAGAUGAACAUUGUAGGUUGAAGUUAAAAGAAUUUCAUUUGAGAUAUUCAUUUCUUGGUCAAACUCUAAACAUUGAUGGCUGCUAUUAGGUUUUCAACUUUGAAAAGGACCCUCAAUUCCUCUUUUAAAUUAGCAAAUCAGAUUGAUAUCAGAUCUUCAUAUGCUUGCAGAAAUGGUAAUCUCCACACUAGAGAACCCACCAAUUCAAAAAGUUAUGCUGCCCCAAAAUGUUUUAAUUUAAGGGGUCUGCACUUGGCCAGUGGGAUCAGUCAUGUUUCCUCUUAUCUCAGUGGGGGAUCUGAUAAUAAAAGUUUGAGGGGAAGUAAAUCAAUUGUUCUGACUAGCCCCAUUUGGAAUAGUCGAUGGUAUUCGUCAUCUGUUAGCAGCAAAGGAGAUACUCCUAAAGGUUCAGAAGUUACAACUGGUGCAAGUGGGUCUGAUGUGGAUACAAGUGGUGUAAGUGGAAGUGAAUGGGUUGGAAAUAUUAAGGAAGCUUGGCAAACUGCCAUGGAUGCUGUGAAUUAUACCGGUGAAAAAGCGAAAGAGGCAUCUUCUGAAAUGACUCCUUAUGUUGAACAUGUGCUCGAUGCACACCCUUAUCUGAGAGAUGUAGUUGUUCCUGUUGGUGGCACUUUAACUGGUACCUUAAUGGCUUGGGUGGUGCUUCCAAGGUUUUUGAGGAGAUUUCACAAGUAUUCGAAUCAAGGACCAGCUGCUUUGUUUCCUGGAAGCUCGAUAUGGGGGCAGGUUCCUUAUGAGAAAAGUAUUUGGGGUGCUAUGGAGGAUCCCGUUCGAUAUUUAAUUACUUUCAUGGCAUUUUCACAGAUUAUAUCUAUGUUCAGCGCUGUGAUGGUGGCGCCCAGCAGUAUUGCAUCACAAUACCUUCUCCAGACAUGGCAAGGUGCUGCCAUUCUUUCAUUUGUCUGGUUUCUACAGCGAUGGAAAACAAAUGUGAUCAGCAGAACUUUGGUUGUCAAGGGUCUUGAAGUGGGUGACCGUGAUCGAUUGUUGACUUUGGACAGAAUCUCUUCCGUUGGCCUCUUCGUCCUUGGGCUAAUGACUUUAGCUGAAGUUUGUGGAGUAGCUGUACAGUCUAUUUUGACUGUUGGUGGAAUUGGAGGGGUGGCUACUGCCUUUGCUGCUAGAGACAUCCUUGGUAAUGUUCUUAGUGGACUCUCUGUACAGCUUUCACAACCUUUUUCAGUUGGUGACACGAUAAAAGCUGGAUCAGUGGAAGGUCAAGUGGUUGAAAUGGGGCUCACUAGUACAUCAUUGUUGACUGCAGAAAAAUUCCCUGUUAUUGUCCCAAAUUCACUAUUUUCCAGUCAGGUGAUUGUGAAUAAAUCACGUGCUCAAUGGCGUGCUAUGGUCACUACUGUUCCUUUCCAAAUUGAAGACUUUGAUAAGAUUGUCCAGAUAUCAGAUGAUGUAAAGAGCAUGCUCAAAUCUAAUCCAAAUGCUUUCUUGGAAAAGGAGGCACCAUACUGCUACUUGUCUAAAAUUGAAAAAACAUAUGCAGAGCUGACUCUUGGAUGCAAUUUAAGAUAUGUGAGCAAGGACAAAUUGUUUUCAGCACAGCAGGAUAUUCUUCUGCAAGCAGCCCGAAUAGUCAUGCAGCAUGGAGGCACACUGGCUGAUCCUUGGACUCGGUGAUUUACAUUGGAACGAAGAUAUCUUAAUCUUGAGGGUCUUGGAGGAUGGCCUUUGUUCGGUUAUGGAGGCAGAGGCUUUUGUGCUGGUUCCAGUGGAAGUUUUGCUUGAAGUUCUGUCAUAAGAUCUUACUGUUGAGCGAUGAUUUUGAUCAAAGAAUAGAAACUAUCCUCAAACUAUGAAGAAGUUGUGGCAAAAGCAUGCUAAGAAAGAAGAAGAAAAAAGAAAGUGGUUCUAAGAAAAAGGGAUCUAACAGUCCUGCAAGUACAGCUCCCGCCAAGAGAAGAAGACUUGCCGAAGCAAUUUUCAGAGAUGAUCUUUCUAAGGGAUUAGGGUGUAUUUGUAGUUGUCUAUGCCGAGUAUUUGAGUAAGGGAUUAGACAUUCUGUCUUCUGGUAUUGAUGCUCAAUACCAUCGUCUGAGAUAUCUAGUCUUUUGUGCAAGUACGGAUUUGAAAAAGUAUAGAAUGGCUACUUUAGUGAGAAUGACAUCCACCAAGGCCAAGUAGCAAGUUCGGACCAAAACAAACAGAUCGUGUUUUGCAUAUUCAGUAGUUGUUUAUUUGUUUGCUAGUUGGAUAUUAAAAUCAUUGAUGAUGUUAUAAACUUUGAUGAUGUUUUGAUGAUGUUAGUAAUAUUUAGAUAAACAUACAUUAUGUUUCUUUAAUGAUUAAAAACUUCUACUUUGUCA